GGGAGCUUGCUCCCUGAUGUUAGCGGCGGACGGGUGAGUAACACGUGGGUAACCUGCCUGUAAGACUGGGAUAACUCCGGGAAACCGGGGCUAAUACCGGAUGGUUGUUUGAACCGCAUGGUUCAAACAUAAAAGGUGGCUUCGGCUACCACUUACAGAUGGACCCGCGGCGCAUUAGCUAGUUGGUGAGGUAACGGCUCACCAAGGCAACGAUGCGUAGCCGACCUGAGAGGGUGAUCGGCCACACUGGGACUGAGACACGGCCCAGACUCCUACGGGAGGCAGCAGUAGGGAAUCUUCCGCAAUGGACGAAAGUCUGACGGAGCAACGCCGCGUGAGUGAUGAAGGUUUUCGGAUCGUAAAGCUCUGUUGUUAGGGAAGAACAAGUACCGUUCGAAUAGGGCGGUACCUUGACGGUACCUAACCAGAAAGCCACGGCUAACUACGUGCCAGCAGCCGCGGUAAUACGUAGGUGGCAAGCGUUGUCCGGAAUUAUUGGGCGUAAAGGGCUCGCAGGCGGUUUCUUAAGUCUGAUGUGAAAGCCCCCGGCUCAACCGGGGAGGGUCAUUGGAAACUGGGGAACUUGAGUGCAGAAGAGGAGAGUGGAAUUCCACGUGUAGCGGUGAAAUGCGUAGAGAUGUGGAGGAACACCAGUGGCGAAGGCGACUCUCUGGUCUGUAACUGACGCUGAGGAGCGAAAGCGUGGGGAGCGAACAGGAUUAGAUACCCUGGUAGUCCACGCCGUAACGAUGAGUGCUAAGUGUUAGGGGGUUUCCGCCCCUUAGUGCUGCAGCUAACGCAUUAAGCACUCCGCCUGGGG
rnacentral:rRNA from 1 species